CUAGGAUGAACGCUGGCGGCGUGCUUAACACAUGCAAGUCGAACGAAGCGAUUUCUUGCUUGCAAGAAAUUGACUAGUGGCGGACGGGUGAGUAACGCGUGGGUAACCUGCCUCAGUACAGGGGGAUAACAGUUGGAAACGACUGCUAAAACCGCAUAACCCGCUAGUGUCGCAUGACACGGACGGAAAAUAUUUAUAGGUAUGAGAUGGGCCCGCGUCUGAUUAGCUAGUUGGUAAGGUAAUGGCUUACCAAGGCGACGAUCAGUAGCCGACUUGAGAGAGUGAUCGGCCACAUUGGGACUGAGACACGGCCCAAACUCCUACGGGAGGCAGCAGUGGGGAAUAUUGGACAAUGGGGGAAACCCUGAUCCAGCGAACCGCCGCGUGAGUGAAGAAGUAUUUCGGUAUGUAAAGCUCUAUCAGCAGGGAAGAUAAUGACAGUACCUGACUAAGAAGCCCCGGCUAACUACGUGCCAGCAGCGGC
rnacentral:rRNA from 1 species